CCCUACGGGGGGCAGCAGUGGGGGAUAUUGCACAAUGGGGGGAACCCUGAUGCAGCGACGCCGCGUGGGUGGAGAAGCGCCUCGGCGCGUAAAGCCCUGUCAGCAGGGAAGAAAAUGACGGUACCUGAAGAAGAAGCCCCGGCUAACUACGUGCCAGCAGCCGCGGUAAUACGUAGGGGGCAAGCGUUAUCCGGAUUUACUGGGUGUAAAGGGGGCGCAGACGGCGAUGCAAGCCAGGAGUGAAAGCCCGGGGCCCAACCCCGGGACUGCUCUUGGAACUGCGUGGCUGGAGGGCAGGAGGGGCG
rnacentral:rRNA from 1 species